UACGAAGGCAGCAGUGGGGAAUAUUGCACAAUGGGCGAAAGCCUGAUGCAGCUAUGCCGCGUGUAUGAAGAAGGCCUUAGGGUUGUAAAGUACUUUCAUCGGGGAGGAAAAAACAAAACUAAUAAUUUUAUUUCUUGACGUUACCCGAAAAAGAAGCACCGGCUAACUCCGUGCCAGCAGCCGCGGUAAUACGGAGGGUGCUAGCGUUAAUCAGAAUUACUGGGCGUAAAGAGCACGUAGGUGGUUUUUUUAAGUCAGAUGUGAAAUCCCUGGGCUUAACCUAGGAACUGCAUUUUGAAACUGAAAUACUAGAGUAUCGUAGAGGGAGGUAGAAUUCUAGGUGUAGCGGUGAAAUGCGUAGAUAUCUGGAGGAAUACCUGUGGCGAAAGCGGCCUCCUAAACGAAUACUGACACUGAGGGUGCGAAAGCGUGGGGAGCAAAACAGGGAUUAGAUACC
rnacentral:rRNA from 1 species